rnacentral:rRNA from 1 species
UACAGAGGGUGCAAGCGUUAAUCGGAAUUACUGGGCGUAAAGCGUGCGUAGACGGUUAUGUAAGUCAGGUGUGAAAGCCCCCGGGCUCAACCUGGGAAUUGCAUUUGAGACUGCAUAGCUAGGGUGCGGAAGAGGGAAGCGGAAUUUCCGGUGUAGCGGUGUAAAUGCGUAGAUAUCGGAAGGAACAUCAGUGGCGAAAGCGGCUUCCUGGUCCAGGCACCGACGUCAGGCACGAAAGCGUGGGGA